ACUCCUACGGGAGGCAGCAGUGGGGAAUAUUGCACAAUGGGCGCAAGCCUGAUGCAGCCAUGCCGCGUGUGAUGAAGAAGGCCUUCGGGUUGUAAAGUACUUUCAGCAGUGAGGAAGGCGGGUACGUUAAUAGCGUGCUCCGUUUGACGUUAGCUGCAGAAGAAGCACCGGACCGNAAGUUCCNGCCAGCAGCCGCGGUAAUACGGAGGGUGCGAGCAGUUAAUCGGAAUUACUGGGCGUAAAGCGCAAUGCAGGUGGUUUGUUAAGUCAGAUGUGAAAGCCCGGGGCUCAACCUCGGAAUAGCUUUGAAACUGGCA
rnacentral:rRNA from 1 species